GAAAGUGCAUUGGCACUGUGUCCCAAAUGAGACAAUAUUUUCUGAACUCAUGGGUAGUGCAUUGGCACUGCGUCCCCUAUCAUAUUGAGCAGAAUUUCUGCCUCGAUUACUGUAAGUUCCUUAUAGCCGGCAUCUUCUCUGUGGAUGGAAAUCUAUAUGAGCUGACAGCACUCAAAAUUGUAUUUCCUGCAUCUCCAGAUCGAUAGCCGGCAUCGGAGGAAGGGGUGGGUGCAAAAAUUCUCUGGUUAGAAAAUUAGGAAGAGAAUUUUCUUC
rnacentral:lncRNA from 1 species